AAGAGAAGAAGAAGAAAGUUUUUAUUUUCGUCCCCCGAAAAAUGAUGACCAGCAGUUGCUGCUGGUCGGCAUCUAUUGGUUCGCGUCGGAUGAGAGGGCCAAUAUUGCCCAUCGCCGAUAUGUGGACCUUUGGCAAAAGGAUGGGCGGACUCUGACGGAUUUCAAAGGGAAAAUCCAAAAAUACCAUGUACUAAUCUUCGAACGAUAUCGGGAGAACCAGCCACGGAACAAGGGAGAAAUACAUGGGCGGCUGGUAAAAUUAAAUCUGCCGGUUAAGUCGACUUAACUUCGGCUGGUUGAAGAUGUUACGGAGCGGCAAAAUUCGCGUUUCGGUACCCGCUCAUCUAGGGAAGAAACACCAACCGCAGGGGCCGGAUGUCUUCGUUGCCUCUACUAAUGCUGUUGUUCCAGAUAACUGUAGCUAUAAUUGAAAAAAAAA